rnacentral:rRNA from 1 species
GACGAACGGCUGGCGGCGUGCCUAACACAUGCAAGUCGAACGGAGAUCGAUUUCGGUUGUACUUAGUGGCGAACGGGUGAGUAACGCGUGAGCAACCUGACCUUUAGAGGGGGAUAACACUUGGAAACAGGUGCUAAUACCGCAUAAGACCAGACCCGACAUCGGGAUGAGGUCAAAGGAGAAAUCCGCUAAAGGAGGGGCUCGCGUCCCAUUAGAUAGAUGGCGGGGUAACGGCCCACCAUGUCGACGAUGGGUAGCCGAGCUGAGAGGCUGAUCGGCCACACUGGAACUGAGACACGGUCCAGACUCCUACGGGAGGCAGCAGUGGGGAAUAUUGGGCAAUGGGCGCAAGCCUGACCCAGCAACGCCGCGUGAGGGAAGAAGGUCUUCGGAUUGUAAACCUCUGUCCUUGGUGACGAAACAAAUGACGGUAGCCAAGGAGGAAGCCCCGGCUAACUACGUG